rnacentral:rRNA from 100 species
UCGACCUCAGAUCAGACGAGAUGACCCGCUGAAUUUAA